rnacentral:misc_RNA from 1 species
GAUGAAGAACGCAUCGAAAUGCGAUAAGUAGUGUGAAUUGCAGAAUUCAGUGAAUCAUCGAAUCUUUGAACGCACAUUGCGCCCCUUGGUAUUCCAUGGGGCAUGCCUGUUCGAGCGUCAUUUGUACCUUCAAGCUUUGCUUGGUGUUGGGUGUUUGUCUCGCCUCCGCGUGUAGACUCGCCUCAAAACAAUUGGCAGCCGGCGUAUUGAUUUCGGAGCGCAGUACAUCUCGCGCUUUGCACUCACAACGACGACGUCCAAAAGUACAUUUUUACACUCUUGACCUCGGAUCAGGUAGGGAUACCCGCUGAACUUAAGCAUAUCAAUAAGCGGAGGA